rnacentral:rRNA from 1 species
GAUGAACGCUGGCGGCGUGCCUAAUACAUGCAAGUCGAGCGAACGGACGAGAAGCUUGCUUCUCUGAUGUUAGCGGCGGACGGGUGAGUAACACGUGGAUAACCUACCUAUAAGACUGGGAUAACUUCGGGAAACCGGAGCUAAUACCGGAUAAUAUUUUGAACCGCAUGGUUCAAAAGUGAAAGACGGUCUUGCUGUCACUUAUAGAUGGAUCCGCGCUGCAUUAGCUAGUUGGUAAGGUAACGGCUUACCAAGGCAACGAUGCAUAGCCGACCUGAGAGGGUGAUCGGCCACACUGGAACUGGAACACGGUCCAGACUCCUACGGGAGGCAGCAGUAGGGAAUCUUCCGCAAAGGGCGAAAGCCUGACGGAGCAACGCCGCGUGAGUGAUGAAGGUCUUCGGAUCGUAAAACUCUGUUAUUAGGGAAGAACAUAUGUGUAAGUAACUGUGCACAUCUUGACGGUACCUAAUCAGAAAGCCACGGCUAACUACGUG